CGUCUCGCCAGGUCCUAGUUCCAAAAUUCCACAUGCUGAUUGCUUCUCAUUGAAGGCACCAAUCAGCAUGGUUUCACGCACAUCCAAAGUGCAAUUCAAUGGAGAGAGAUCGUGCUCUACACGACGAAAGAAAGAUUUGACUAUGAUGAGCUGUUUGAGAAAUAUGGAAUAGCAUCGUUACGAUUAGUAAACGCAUUGGAAAAAUAAAUUUAGACGAAAAUACAGAUAUUGUAAAAAUGAAAAUUUUGUUAACUAUAGAAAAUCAUUGUCAUUGCCAUUUAAAAAAAAAAUACAUCUGCUAGCUUGAUGAAUUUA